AUUGAACGCUGGCGGCAGGCCUAACACAUGCAAGUCGAGCGGAUGAAGGGAGCUUGCUCCUGGAUUCAGCGGCGGACGGGUGAGUAAUGCCUAGGAAUCUGCCUGGUAGUGGGGGAUAACGUCCGGAAACGGGCGCUAAUACUGCAUACGUCCUGAGGGAGAAAGUGGGGGAUAUUCGGACCUCACGCUAUCAGAUGAGCCUAGGUCGGAUUAGCUAGUUGGUGGGGUAAAGGCCUACCAAGGCGACGAUCCGUAACUGGUCUGAGAGGAUGAUCAGUCACACUGGAACUGAGACACGGUCCAGACUCCUACGGGAGGCAGCAGUGGGGAAUAUUGGACAAUGGGCGAAAGCCUGAUCCAGCCAUGCCGCGUGUGUGAAGAGGGUCUUCGGAUUGUAAAGCACUUUAAGUUGGGAGGAAGGGCAGUAAGUUAAUACCUUGCUGUUUUGACGUUACCAACAGAAUAAGCACCGGCUAACUUCGUG
rnacentral:rRNA from 1 species